rnacentral:rRNA from 3 species
GGACUACUGGGGUAUCUAAUCCCGUUCGCUCCCCUAGCUUUCGCGCCUCAGCGUCAGAAGAGGUCCAGCAGCUCGCUUUCGCCACCGGCGUUCCUUCCGAUAUCAACGCAUUUCACCGCUCCACCGGAAGUUCCAGCUGCCCCUACCUCCCUCCAGACAAGCAGUAUCCAAGGCACUUUUCCGGUUAAGCCGAAAGAUUUCACCCCGGACUUGCUUGCCCGCCUACGCGCCCUUUAAGCCCAGUGAUUCCGAACAACGUUUGCACGGUUCGUCUUACCGCGGCUGCUGGCAC